GCUUCAUCUGAGUUCCUCAGUGGUGUGUUUAAUUUUGCAAUAUUUCGAUCGAUUAGAGAAGACGAAGCGUUAAAUCCUAGACCUGAAAUUUCCCAGAACAGAAAGUAGUAUUGUCACGUAGAAUAAAGCCGAAUCCUGAUGACUAAUGAAGCUGAUUUAUUGAACACGCCCGACAUAUGUGGAACAGAGUAACUGCGCUUCUUUUAUUGAAACGCAUGAACUUAUAUAAAGCUAAAUAAGUAACAGGAAAUGAUGUAAUAGAAGCUUCUAGAGUACAUUGAAAUAAUUAAUAAAACCUUAAACAUUAUAUAUAUA